UUCUGGCAUCUCAUUUUCUUCUUGUUUUUAUUCUUAAUUUGUUUUUGUUUUUUUGUUUGUUUUUUGUAUUAAUGUUUCGUUUCUUUCUCUUUCCAGGUAAGUGUGUGAGGCCUGGGUCAAGUACAUCUGUGUUGCUGUGUUCUUGGUCUAGUAAGUGUGUGUGUGUGUGUGUGUGUGUGUGUGUGUGUCUUACUAAUAUUUUGUUAUGAUUGUAUACAGUUUUUUCAUAAUUUCAUCUGGUAUAUCGUUCAGAUCAUCAGGAAUUUCAUUUGUAUAUUUCAUUUUGCUCCAUCACUGUCAUUCCUCUCUUUGUACAGCCUCUUACUAUGUCCUCCUGGUGUUGGCUUCCCGCCCGCAGGUUAUAUGGACAGUUAUACAUAAUUUCUUUACUACUAUAAUUCUCAAUAUAGUAUAAAAUAAAUACAUGCGUCAUGGGAAGGGGAGGGUACGGAGGUAGGAAAUAUAUAUGAAGUUGCUUUUGUAACACACACACACACACACACACACACACACACACACACACACACACACACACACACACACACACACACACACACACACACACACACACACACACACACACACCAGCUCCAUGUCACCCACGAAGGUAUACGUAUUUCCUCCUGCCUCCGACUUGAACUCUUUCAAGAGGAGGGUAUCAGGACACCUCUCCUCCCGAAAUUGACCCCUCUUUUUGGACACUCCUUUGACCUCUAUUCAGGAGCAGUAAGUAGCGGGUUUUUAUUUUUUAUUUUUCUUUACGCCCUUGAACUGUCUCCUUAGCUGUAAAAAAAAAAAAAUGUCCCUCGUCGCCGGCGUGCCACAAGGGGACGCUUAGAGCCCUCUCCGCCUGCCAGUUCCACCGCUUGUAUAACGAAAGAUAAUGUAAAUCACGGGCUUGUUCAAUGGGGUGGCUAUGAGGUGACUAACCGGCCCCCCUCCCCCUCCUCACACGAGAUUUUCUUUUAGGUCCAAGAUGAGGUUUGACAUAAUUUAUAUAAGGUAAAUCAGGGACCGUAUUCAGAGUUUGAUGGUUAUAAGGUGACUAGGUCGGUAUUCUCAGACGCCUCCUCCCCUCACAUCAACUAUUUCCAAAGGCCAAAAGGGAGAUCAAUCGGGUUCUUAUGACUGGUAUUUUAGGUUCAUGGUGCAGGAGAACGGUCAAACUACCAGAAGGGUCAUAAAACUACCCCUGGAAAUGCCCCAAACUCCUACGAAAGCCUUGUCAAAUAUGUGUACUUGGGUGCCAAAAUGUUUAAAAGUACCACCCUUAAGGUUGGUAUUAUAAGAGACACUCGCUUCUCACUUCACCUAUUUCUAAAGGUCAAAGAGGGGGUCAGUCGGGUUCUAAUGAGUGUUUCUUCAGGUUCAUGGUACAGAAGAAGACUCACACUACCACCAGGGUCAUAAAACUACCCCUGGAAAUGCCCACAACUCCUACGACAGCCUUGUCAAAUAUGUGUUCUUGGGUGGCGAAAUGUCUUGUAACACGACCCGGAGAUAGGCUGGUAUUACAAGACACUUUGCCAUCUCACAUCACCUAUUUCUAAAGGUCAAAGAGGGGAUCAAUCGGGCUCUAAUGAGUGUUUCCUUAGCUUCACGGUACAGAAGAAGGGUCACACUACCACCAGGGUCAAAGAACUACUACUAGAAAUGCCACAAACUCCUACGAAAAGCCUUGUCAAAUAUGUGAACUUAGGCGACGAAAUGUUUAGCAAUAUGACCCUCCCCUCCCUCCUCCCCCACAUGAAAUUAUCCUUGGUUCUAGUUCAAUUUUGGGAUAAUUAAUGAGUGAUCCUUAACUGCUAAUCAAUGUCCCUCGUGCACUCAACAACCGCCCCAACACCUCCCCCUCUCAAAUAAACGUUUGGGUUCAGCCCCGAAGUAGUUGUUGAAGAAGAAAGAUCACAGUUUGUCUAUCGUCUGUUUAUAUCUACAGAGCUGUAAUAAUCAAAACAGUAAACAAAACAAAAAUAUUCUUGGCGCAAUGCAAUUAUAAGACGUGAUGAAUGGGGUAAAUGGAACAAAGGCCGUCCCGCUAGUAUGUCAAAACUGAAGUUGUAAAUAUGAGAAAAAAAAACGAUAUUGAAAAUGAAAAUUGCAUUGGAUGAAAAAUAUAUCAAGUGUAAUCUUUGAAUGGAGGUGAGAAGAAUUGAUCCUCACCAGGUUAGUAUUGAUUUUUAAUGCAUUAUUACAUCGGCCGCAGAUAUUCCGAAUCGUUACAAACAGUGUGUGUGGGCGGCAGUAAGAGGGAAUCAGACCAAGCGGACGCCUUUUGCCAUUGCGAACUGGAGAUGACCAGUGUCGGGGUGGCGUUGUGUUGACCGAGGGAGACGCCCAUCGCUCCACCGCUCCACCGCUUCCUCUCUACCUUCCUCCUGUAGCUGUCUGUGUGUGUGUGUGUGUGGCUGUGUCAUUCAUUCACCAUGGUCUGAUCACGUGCCGGACUCGCAAUCACCAGCCAGUACUCUCUCCGUUUUGAGCUUGGAGCUACAUAAUCACGAAUCUUUGCCUUUGGGUUUGGAACUUUGGGUAUAGCUCAACCUCACACCGCACCCACACACAUCCGGGAGGCGGGACACAACCUCACACCUACACCCGGCAGCAAUUCACUGUUGGAUGGAGGUACACGGAUGAAAGUAGACUGACCAUCCGUCCCCACUCCGCCCGGGAAUCGAACCUGGGACCAAUGCACUACGUAGAUCCGUUUGUGUGUGUGUGUGUGUGUGUGUGUGUGUGUGUGUGUGUGUGUGUGUGUGUGUGUGUGUGUGUGUGUGUGUGUGUGUGUGUGUGUGAUGGGUAUAAAUGAGUCUAAGAGGAGGCUUUGGGAGUUGAGGAGCUGUUGAUAAGCUUCUGUAGAUCAAGAAGGAGGAUCUGAAGGCAGAGGAGGAAUCGGUAGGGGUUGAGGGGAUGUUGUGGAGGUCGAGAGGAAGACAUUCUGGAGGUCGAGGAGGCGGUUUUCAAGGUCUAUCAGGAGUGGGUGUUCAUUGAGGAGGAGAUGGUGGAGGUCAAGGAGUAAGUUAUGGGGGUCGACAAGGUUCUAGAUAUCGAGGAGGAGGUGGUGGUAGUUGGAGAUGAGAUUGUGGGAGUUGAAGAAGAGAUUGUGAAGGAAGAGGUUAUAGAAGUUGUAGAGGUCUAGGAGGAGGUUGUUGAGGGUUGAGGAAGAGGUUCUAGAGGUCGAAGAGGAGGUUGUUGAGGGUUGAGGAAGAGGUUCUAGAGGUCGAAGAGGAGGUUGUUGAGGGUUGAGGAAGAGGUUCAAGAGGUCGAGGAGGAGGUUGUUGAGGGUUGAGGAAGAGGUUCUAGAGGUCGAAGAGGAGGUUGUUGAGGGUUGAGGAAGAGGUUCUAGAGGUCGAGGAGGAGGUUCUGGAGGAGAAGAUUGUGAUUGUUGAAGAGGAGGUUGGGAUUCACGAGAGGGUUGUGGAGGUUAAGGAUUAGGUUUUGGAAGUCAAGGAAGAGGUUGUAGAGCUCGAAGAGGAGGUUGGGUUGAGGAAGAGGCUCUAGAGGUCGAGGAGGAGGUUAUGGAGAAGGAGGUGGUGGUGGAAGAUGAAGAGGAGGUUGUGAGAGUUCAAGAUGGUGUUGUGGGGACCUAAGAGGAGGUUGUGGAGGUCAAGGAAGAGGUUGUGGAGGUCAAGGAAAAGGUUGUGGAGGUCAAGGAAGAGGUGGUGAAGUUGAGGAGGAAGUUGCGGUGGUUGAGAAGGAAGUUGUGCCGGAAGCAAAAUGGCAACGAAAAUAGCAUUAGUUGGCUGACAUCAAUAUGUGCGUGGCAACUCUGCAUGGCCCUUUGUGUACUGUAAAGGGGUUAUUACGCUGGGCAAAUUUUCCGUGGAUCUUCAGUCAAACCACGAUUUCCGCUGGCGUGGUUCUCAUUUGUUUCUUGUUAUUGCUGCUGAUGAUGAUGAUGAGUAAUACCGUCGUCCUUCGGUGAAAUCUAACGUAGCUUUGGAAGAUCGUGGACGCGUCAGAAGACCACGGAAAUAUGAAAACCACGCUAGCGGAAAUCGUGUUUUGACUGAAGAUCCACGGAAAAUUUGCCCACUGUAAUAGCCCCUUAAGCUGACCGUGUAAAAUAAAAUAAAAAAAUUGCCGAAAUAAAGAUAAAGAAGAGUAAACAGUGAAUCAGGCCGCGCACCGGACGUCCCAGCGGGAGAAUCUGUGCCAUAGAUAUAGUCAUCUUGAGUGACACAAAUUUAGUAACAUUAAAGGGAAAAAAUCAAGAGAAAUCACAAGGAAAAAAAUAGCUGAAUGAAUUAAUAAGCUGAUUAACUAAUUUUAUCUACAACGGCCCUCCUCGUGAACAUAAAUUUAAUAACAUUCAAGGGAAAAAAAUCAAGAGAAAUCACGAUGAAAAAAAUAGCUGAAUGAAUUAAUAAGCUGAUUAAC